rnacentral:rRNA from 1 species
GACGAACGCUGGCGGCGUGCCUAAUACAUGCAAGUUGGGCGCUGAAGGUUGGUACUUGUACCAACUGGAUGAGCAGCGAACGGGUGAGUAAAGCGUGGGGAAUCUGCCUUUGAGCGGGGGACAACAUUUGGAAACGAAUGCUAAUACCGCAUAAAAACUUUAAACACAAGUUUUAAGUUUGAAAGAUGCAAUUGCAUCACUCAAAGAUGAUCCCGCGUUGUAUUAGCUAGUUGGUGAGGUAAAGGCUCACCAAGGCGAUGAUACAUAGCCGACCUGAGAGGGUGAUCGGCCACAUUGGGACUGAGACACGGCCCAAACUCCUACGGGAGGCAGCAGUAGGGAAUCUUCGGCAAUGGACGAAAGUCUGACCGAGCAACGCCGCGUGAGUGAAGAAGGUUUUCGGAUCGUAAAACUCUGUUGGUAGAGAAGAACGUUGGUGAGGGUGGAAAGCUCAUCAAGUGACGGUAACUACCCAGAAAGGGACGGCUAACUACGUG